AUUGAACGCUGGCGGCAGGCCUAACACAUGCAAGUCGAACGGUAACAGGGAUCAGCUUGCUGAUUCGCUGACGAGUGGCGGACGGGUUAGUAAUGUCUGGGAAACUGCCUGAUGGAGGGGGAUAACUACUGGAAACGGUAGCUAAUACCGCAUAACGUCGCAAGACCAAAGAGGGGGACCUUCGGGCCUCUUGCCAUCGGAUGUGCCCAGAUGGGAUUAGCUAGUAGGUGGGGUAACGGCUCACCUAGGCGACGAUCCCUAGCUGGUCUGAGAGGAUGACCAGCCACACUGGAACUGAGACACGGUCCAGACUCCUACGGGAGGCAGCAGUGGGGAAUAUUGCACAAUGGGCGCAAGCCUGAUGCAGCCAUGCCGCGUGUAUGAAGAAGGCCUUCGGGUUGUAAAGUACUUUCAACGGGGAGGAAGGGAGUAAAGUUAAUACCUUUGCUCAUUGACGUUACCCGCAGAAGAAGCACCGGCUAACUCCGUG
rnacentral:rRNA from 1 species